rnacentral:rRNA from 1 species
AGAGUUUGAUCCUGGCUCAGGACGAACGCUGGCGGCGCGCCUAAUACAUGCAAGUCGAACGAGUACGCACUUCGGUGCAAUGUACGAGUGGCGAACGGGUGAGUAACACGUGAGAAACCUGCCUCGGAGACCGGGACAACCAUUGGAAACGAUGGCUAAUACCGGAUGUCCUUACUUGGUCGCAUGAUCGGGUAAGGAAAUGAUCCGUCGCUCCGGGAGGGUCUCGCGGCCUAUCAGCUAGUUGGUGAGGUAAUGGCUCACCAAGGCAUCGACGGGUAGCUGGUCAGAGAGGACGAUCAGCCACACUGGGACUGAGACACGGCCCAGACUCCUACGGGAGGCAGCAGUAGGGAAUCUUGCACAAUGGGCGAAAGCCUGAUGCAGCGACGCCGCGUGGGGGAUGAAGGCCUUCGGGUUGUAAACCCCUUUCAGUAGGGACGAAAAUGACGUACCUACAGAA